rnacentral:rRNA from 1 species
AUGGAUGAGGUCACAAGGGAUAUACAAGGAGAUAUCCCAUGGUGUAUGCUCUUUGCAGAUGAUGUGGUGCUAGUUGACGAUAGUCGGACGAGGGUAAAUAGGAAGUUAGAGUUAUGGAGACAAACCUUGGAAUCGAAAGGGUUUAGGCUUAGUAGAACUAAAACCGAGUACAUGAUGUGCGGUUUCAGUACUACUAGGUGUGAGGAGGAGGAGGUUAGCCUUGAUGGCCAGGUGGUACCUCGGAAGGACACCUUUCGGUAUUUGGGGUCAAUGUUGCAGGAGGAUGGGGGUAUUGAUGAAGAUGUGAAUCAUCGAAUCAAAGCCGGAUCGAUGAAGUGGCGCCAAGCUUCUGGCAUUCUCUGUGACAAGAGAGUGCCACAAAAGCUAAAAGGCAAGUUCUACAGGACGGCGGUUCGCCCCGCAAUGUUGUAUGGCGCGGAGUGUUGGCCGACUAAAAGGCGACAUGUUCAACAGUUAGGUGUGGCGGAGAUGCGUAUGUUGAGAUGCAUGUGUGGCCACACGAGGAAGGAUCGAGUCCGGAAUGAUGAUAUACGAGAUAGAGUUGGGGUAGCACCAAUUGAGGAGAAGCUUGUCCAACAUCGUCUGAGAUGGUUUGGGCAUAUUCAGCGCAGGCCUCCAGAAGCUCCAGUGCGUAGCGGACGGCUAAAGCGUGCGGAGAAUGUCAAGUGA